rnacentral:lncRNA from 1 species
AACAAAUAACCUCACUUCUACUAGGCUAGGGCGUUAGGGUAAUAAGUUGUCAAGAGGGAGGUUACACAGCUGUGGAAGUUUAAAUCCACUUUCAGUGUUUUCAUUGGCUGCUGUGGAUUUUUCCACAGGUGGUCUUUUAACACAGUUGGGAGAAAAAGGCUUGAUCAUCUGUGGAAAGAAUAAGGAGAACCAUUUGUUGAUAAGCUGGGCCCAGCUAAGCAAGAAACUGAGAUUGGUUCAUGUAUUCAUCUUCACAUUUUUAAAUUUGAAAAAUGUGGAAGUCUAACAUUUUUAAACACGCUGAUUGUGGGUUCUUGUCUCAAACACUCUUUCUCUGACGAUACAACAGAACACGAGGGUAAGAUCCAUUUAUCCACACAGGCUUGGUGGGGGAGGACAUAAUGGGAGCUUGUCUGUGAUUUGCAUUUAAGGCUCCUGCAUAAUUUUUGA